GNGUGNGUAAUUUAAAAAAAAUAUUAAGUUGUGACCUUGAAAAUAGAGACCUCGCACAC
rnacentral:tRNA from 1 species